rnacentral:tRNA from 1 species
CAAGAAAUAUUUAGUUAAAAUAAUAAUUUGGGGAUUAUAGAUGUAAGUUAAAUCUUAUUUUUUGA